rnacentral:rRNA from 1 species
AAGUGGAGCAAUCCAUGAGUAAAGUGGCGACCGGGUGAGUAACACGUGACUAACCUACCUUCGAGUGGGGGAUAACCUCGGGAAACCGAGGCUAAUACCGCAUAACAUCGCAAGAUCAAAGCAGCAAUGCGCUGGAAGAGGGGGUCGCGGCUGAUUAGCUAGUUGGCGGGGUAACGGCCCACCAAGGCGAAGAUCGGUAUCCGGCUUGAGAGGGCGCACGGACACACUGGAACUGAAACACGGUCCAGACUCCUACGGGAGGCAGCAGUGGGGAAUUUUGCGCAAUGGGGGAAACCCUGACGCAGCAACGCCGCGUGGAGGAUGAAGCCCCUUGGG